UCUCCUCCAGCCUCUUUGAUCUUUCUCUGUUUUGGAAGCCAAAACCUAGGGUUAGGUUCAGGGUUUGUGGUGAUCUCGAAUAGCGCUAGGGGCAUUCUACAACGGGAUAAAGGGUAUGAAAUGCUUCGGCGCCGUGGCUUUCUCCUACCUCGUUGCCCUGCCUGAGGAGCGCUGGCCCACAUGCUAACGCCGGCGAAGGCGACCACUGACCCGCCUCACCUCCCAGGUUGUUACAUGUAGAGAUUUUUCCCUUCAGUCAUUGCAUAAUAUGGUCCCUAGAUAGUGUACAUGUCUAGGGGCCUAGAUGAAUACGGCUGCCAAAUUUCUGACUUCGUUGUUCUUCUUGGGGAUUAAGAUCAAUGGAGGUAUGCCACUUUACUUAAAAGCUGAAUUUUAUUGUGUAAAAUCAAUAAAUUAUACUUGAAAUAGAAGAACCUGCAGAAGCUAACCAUCACAUUUUGGAAAUUUUUAGACUAAACAAUACUUGCAGGUGCCCAGUUUUGUAUACUUACUUUUAAUUUGACUCUGUCAAUCAUUUAUGUGAAUCUGUUUGGCAGAAGCAAUGCUGGUUAUUGCCUUAGAUGACUGCUUUCGUGGAUGUGUCAGAUAUCAGCGACCCUGACUACGAGUCUCCUGAAUUUCUCAGGUGGUCAUGAGAGAGAGGAACCUUUCUAGUGAUGACCAUGUGAUGUGCCCGAAAGAAGUUCAGUUGCUUGUUCCUCAUCAACUAGUUAUUUUGUUAGUUCAUGCGUGCUUUCAGUAGCAAAAAUAAAUGAAGGUGCUUGGAUCAUCUCUCUUGUUUAGAUUUAUAAGUAAUUUCCUUUUUUUUAUAUGUGUUAUUGGAUUCAUAUCAAGAGCGCUUUUCAUGCACCUACUGUUUUAACCUACCAUAGGCACUCUGAUGAUCUUUUCUCCCGUAGUCAAUGUCAGAGAGGGCCGCUUCACCUACCAUAGGCACACUCUGAUGAUCUUUCUCCUGCAGAGCAGCACUACGAGUGUAAUGGGGAUGUCCGAAACAAUGAACGUUUUGAUGGCAGUUCCACCACCUGAUUCCUUCACAAGAUGUCAGUCAGCAAAAUGCACACUUCGCCUUGAAGGACUAUCAUGAGAUGCAAGUCACCUCAGAAUCGAUGUCAUAACAGCAUGAUGGAUCCAAGUGAAACUGCUAUGUGCCAAUCUCCAGAAUUUGCUGGUUGGCUGUUAGCUUUAUCAUCAUUUGAAAAUAUUAUGAUGUACUAGUUCAAGGAUUAUGUGGCUGAUACCUUGAGUUGGAUUAUGUAGCUUUUCAUAUUCCAAUUUACGUUAGUAAGAUUGGAUACUUUCGUAAGUAAGAUGACUAAGGUGUUACCCAUGUUAUUUGAAUGGAGAACAGUGACUCCCUUUAUGUGCAGAAAUUGUUCAGUGAUUAUUGGAGUAAAUUGGAGUUGGGUGUUAUAUUUAA